rnacentral:rRNA from 1 species
GACGAACGCUGGCGGCGUGCUUAACACAUGCAAGUCGAACGGAAAGGCCCUGCUUUUGUGGGGUGCUCGAGUGGCGAACGGGUGAGUAACACGUGAGUAACCUGCCCUUGACUUUGGGAUAACUUCAGGAAACUGGGGCUAAUACCGGAUAGGAGCUCCUGCUGCAUGGUGGGGGUUGGAAAGUUUCGGCGGUUGGGGAUGGACUCGCGGCUUAUCAGCUUGUUGGUGGGGUAGUGGCUUACCAAGGCUUUGACGGGUAGCCGGCCUGAGAGGGUGACCGGCCACAUUGGGACUGAGAUACGGCCCAGACUCCUACGGGCGGCAGCAGUGGGGAAUAUUGCACAAUGGGCGGAAGCCUGAUGCAGCAACGCCGCGUGCGGGAUGACGGCCUUCGGGUUGUAAACCGCUUUCGCAUGUGACGAAGCGUGAGUGACGGUAAUGGGUAAAGAAGCACCGGCUAACUACGUG